UACCGUCGGCGACCUGAUAAGUUGCUUGUUCAAGCCCAAGGCUUAACUUUGGAACAGCAGGCAAAACUAUCAGGAUUGAGUCUGUUCGGGGAACUUGGAAUUCUCGGUGGAGGGGUGAAAUCCGUAGAUAUCGAGAGGAACGCCAAGCGCGAAGGCAGAGUUCUAGAACACGACUGACGCUCAUGGACGAAAGCUCGGGGAGCAAAGGGGAUUAGAGACCCCCGUAGUCCGAGCCGUAAACACUGGAUGCUAGUUGCCUCACUUUUUAGUGGGGUGACGUAAGUUAACGCGUUAAGCAUCCCGCCUGGGGAGUACGACCGCAAGGUUAAA
rnacentral:rRNA from 1 species